AGAGUUUGAUCCUGGCUCAGAUUGAACGCUGGCGGCAGGCCUAACACAUGCAAGUCGAACGGUAACAGGAAGAAGCUUGCUUCUUUGCUGACGAGUGGCGGACGGGUGAGUAAUGUCUGGGAAACUGCCUGAUGGAGGGGGAUAAUUACUGGAAACGGUAGCUAAUACCGCAUAACGUCGCAAGACCAAAGAGGGGGACCUUCGGGCCUCUUGCCAUCGGAUGUGCCCAGAUGGGAUUAGCUAGUAGGUGGGGUAACGGCUCACCUAGGCGACGAUCCCUAGCUGGUCUGAGAGGAUGACCAGCCACACUGGAACUGAGACACGGUCCAGACUCCUACGGGAGGCAGCAGUGGGGAAUAUUGCACAAUGGGCGCAAGCCUGAUGCAGCCAUGCCGCGUGUAUGAAGAAGGCCUUCGGGUUGUAAAGUACUUUCAGCGGGGAGGAAGGGAGUAAAGUUAAUACCUUUGCUCAUUGACGUUACCCGCAGAAGAAGCACCGGCUAACUCCGUGCCAGCAGCCGCGGUAAUACGGAGGGUGCAAGCGUUAAUCGGAAUUACUGGGCGUAAAGCGCACGCAGGCGGUUUGUUAAGUCAGAUGUGAAAUCCCCGGGCUCAACCUGGGAACUGCAUCUGAUACUGGCAAGCUUGAGUCUCGUAGAGGGGGGUAGAAUUCCAGGCGUAGCGGUGAAAUGCGUAGA
rnacentral:rRNA from 1 species